CCUAAUACAUGCAAGUCGAGCGGUAAGGCUUUCACAGAUUAUUUAACUGGAUAAGUUACAGGGUUUACUCUGUAAUACUGUCCCAAAGUUAUUCCCGGCUAGGAAUGACCUGGUUGAAUAAUGCGUGAAAGUACACGAGCGGCGGACGGCUGAGUAACACGUAGGAACGUACCCCCAAACUGAGGGAUAAGCACCAGAAAUGGUGUCUAAUACCGCAUGUGCUCUUCGGAGUAAAGCUACGGCGGUUUGGGAACGGCCUGCGCAUGAUUAGCUUGUUGGUGAGGUAAUAGCUUACCAAGGCGACGAUCAUUAGCUGGUCUGAGAGGAUGAUCAGCCAGACUGGACUGAGAACGGCCCAGACUCCUACGGGAGGCAGCAGUAGGGAAUUUCCACAAUGGGGGCAACCCUGAUGGAGCAACGCCGCGUGCAGGAUGAAGGCCCUAGGGUCGUAAACUGCUUUUAUCUGUGACGAAUAUGACGGUAGCAGAUGAAUAAGGAUCGGCUAACUCCGUG
rnacentral:rRNA from 1 species